CUACGUGCCAGCAGCCGCGGUAAUACGGAGGGUGCGAGCGUUAAUCGGAAUAACUGGGCGUAAAGGGCACGCAGGCGGUGACUUAAGUGAGAUGUGAAAGCCCCGGGCUUAACCUGGGAAUUGCAUUUCAUACUGGGUCGCUAGAGUACUUUAGGGAGGGGUAGAAUUCCACGUGUAGCGGUGAAAUGCGUAGAGAUGUGGAGGAAUACCGAAGGCGAAGGCAGCCCCUUGGGAAUGUACUGACGCUCAUGUGCGAAAGCGUGGGGAGCAAACAGGAUUAGAUACCCUGGUAGUCCACGCUGUAAACGAUGUCGAUUUGGGGGUUGAACUUUAAGUUUGGCGCCCGUAGCUAACGUGAUAAAUCGACCGCCUGGGGAGUACGGCCGCAAGGUUAAAACUCAAAUGAAUUGACGGGGGCCCGCACAAGCGGUGGAGCAUGUGGUUUAAUUCGAUGCAACGCGAAGAACCUUACCUACUCUUGACAUCCAGA
rnacentral:rRNA from 1 species